rnacentral:rRNA from 1 species
CACGUAGGGACCAAGCGUUGUCCGGAUUCAUUGGGCGUAAAGAGCUCGUAGGCGGUUCAGUAAGUCGGGUGUGAAACCUCCAGGCUCAACCUGGAGACGCCACCCGAUACUGCUGUGACUAGAGUCCAGUAGGGGAGCGUGGAAUUCCUGGUGUAGCGGUGAAAUGCGCAGAUAUCAGGAGGAACACCAGCGGCGAAGGCGGGUCUCUGGGCCGAUACUGACGCUGAGGAGCGAAAGCGUGGGGAGCGAACAGG